ensembl:lncRNA
AUGGUUGUGUAUUACGCUCUUAGUUUCACUCCUUUGAACCCUAAAACCCUCUUAGUGAGAGAGUCGUGGCGAUAUGAGAGAUGGCGCUACACUGUUGUAAUAAGUAACUGUAAAUGUUACUGUACAGGGUCUGGAGUCACACACGUAUGUCCUUCAGUGUCCAUCUGUCUGUCUGCUGUCUGGAAGACACUGACUUCUGUCUUUCCCCUUAGAGUUGCAGCCAAUGGGUUCAUAGAGAUGGACGCUGACUCUAUGGAUUUUCCUCUCUCUGUUGAGGAGACCCGACCAGAACCAGUCCAGAGUUCAGUGCGUCCGUGUCCAUUCACUCACAGAGGAUGAUGAGGAUGAUGAGGAUGAUGAAGAUGACCAGCUUCAGGGGUCAAUAGAUAAACCGAUGUGCUGGACAUUCACAUUUUUCUUCACUUUGUAUGAAAUGGUUUCUGUGAACACUUAUUAAAACUAUGAUUAUUAAACGAAAUUUCAUUUUUUUUUACAUUUCGAUCUUUAGAUCUGUUUGCUCAUCUCUAAAUUAACGACUACAGGACGUUUCCUAUCAGAUGUCAAAUAGACGUUUAGAAGAUGUCUUUAAGAUGUUUAUGAUUUAAAAUGAAUUUAAAACUGACGUCUUAAAGACGUCUACACAGCAGAUGUUUUCCAGAUAAAGAGAUCCUUAAAGGGAUAGUUCACCCAAAAAUGAAAAUUAUGUCAUUAAUGACUCACCCUCAUGUCGUUCCAAACCCGUGAGACCUCCGUUCAUCUUCGGAACACAGUAUAAGAUAUUUUAGAUUUAGUCCGAGAGCUUUCUGUCCCUCCAUUGAGAAUGUAUGUACGGUAUACUGUCCACGUCCAGAAAGGUAAUAAAAACAUCUUCAAAGUAGUCCA